rnacentral:piRNA from 1 species
AGCAAAGGACCAAAUGUAGAACA